GCAAACUUGGUCAUUUAGAGGAAGUAAAAGUCGUAACAAGGUUUCCGUAGGGUGAGUAGUCGACCCCCCAGAGCUCCCGAGAGUUAUUUUUACUAACAGAACUACAGUGAACCUGCGGAAGGAUCAUUACAGAGUUCGGUGCCCUCUGGGUGCCUACUCCCACCAUAUGUUUACCAUGAAGCUGUUGCCUCAGGGGGCCAGGCUACCCGCCCCCCGGCUCACGCUGGGGAGAGCCCCCUCGAGGACCUACCAAACCCGCUCAUCAGUGGCAUCUGAGUACAAACACAAUAAGAAAAAACUUUCAACAACGGAUCUCUUGGUUCUGGCAUCGAUGAAGAACGCAGC
rnacentral:misc_RNA from 1 species